AUUGGAUGAAACCGAUCAUUUUGAAAUACGACGUUUAAGUUCUAGGCGGCGGUACCGGGAAGCUUGUUGAGUAAACAAGACCGUAGUUAAACGAGAAACAUGAUGAAGGGAAGAACCGCCCGCAGACCUCAGAAGAAGCAGAGCAGCAACGAGAGAGAUCCAGUGGGGGUGUACUGCCGAGUGCGACCUCUAGGUGCGGAUGAUAAGGAAUGCUGUGUUGAGGUGAUCUCGAGCUCCACCGUUCAGCUGCAUACGCCCGACGGGCUCAAGGUCAAUCGAAAUGGAGAGUUC